GACAGGGGGUGCGAACGUUGUUCGGAAUUACUGGGCGUAAAGCGCGUGUAGGCUGUUCGGAAAGUCGGGUGUGAAAGCCCUGGGCUCAACCUAGGAAGUGCACUCGAAACUCCCGAACUGGAGUCCCGGAGAGGAAGGUGGAAUUCUCGGUGUAGAGGUGAAAUUCGUAGAUAUCGAGAGGAACACCGGUGGCGAAGGCGGCUACCUGGACCGGUACUGACGCUGAGGCGCGAAAGCUAGGGUAGCAAACAGG
rnacentral:rRNA from 1 species